rnacentral:tRNA from 2 species
AAUAAGAUGGCUGAAAAAGCGGUAAAUUGUAAAUUUAUGAAUGAUAUAAAUCUCUUAUUA